GGGCCCAUAGCUCAAUCGGUUAGAGCAAUUGACUCAUAAUCAAUGGGUUUCAGGUUCAAGUCCUGAUGGGCCCA
rnacentral:tRNA from 1 species